AGAGUUUGAUCAUGGCUCAGAACGAACGUUGGCGGCGUGGAUUAGGCAUGCAAGUCGAGCGAGAUUAACCUUUUUCAAUUCUUCGGAAAAGAAGUUGGUUAUGACAGCGGCGAACGGGUGAGUAAUAUAUGGGUAAUUUGCCCCUAAGUUCGGAAUAGCCAUUGGAAACGAUGUGUAAUGCCGAAUGUGAUCGUCUACCGCAUGGUAGACUGUUUUAAAGGCUGGGAAUCUUCGGAUAAGUCGUUUAGGGAUAAGCCCAUAUCCUAUCAGCUUGUUGGUGAGGUAAUGGCUCACCAAGGCUUACGGGUAGCCGACCUGAGAGGGUGAUCGGCCACACUGGGACUGAGACACUGCCCAGACUCCUACGGGAGGCUGCAGUCGAGAAUCAUUGUCAAUGCACGAAAGUGUGAACAUGCGACGCCGCGUGGAGGAAGACGGCCUUCGGGUUGUAAACUCCUGUCAGCAGGGAGGAAGGGCAGCAACAUUAAUAGUGUUGUUGUUUGACAGUACCGCAGAGGAAGUCACGGCUAACUCUGUGCCACAGCCCGCGGUAAUACAGAGGUGACGAACGUUGGUCGGAUUUACUGGGCGUAAAGGGUCCGACAGGCGGUCCGGUGUGUCAGAUGUGAAAGCCCACGGCUUAACUGUGGAAUUGCAUUUGAAACUGCCGGACUAGAGUACUGGAGGGAGAAGGGAACACUUGGUGUAGCGGUGAAAUGCGUAGAUAUCAAGUGGAACACCGGUGGCGAAGGCGCUUCUCUGGACAGAUACUGACGCUCAUGGACGAAAGUUAGGGUAGCGAAAGGGAUUAGAUACCCCUGUAGUCUAACCGUAAACGGUGUGCACUAGACGUGGGUGGAUUUACCCCCAUCCGUGUCUGAGCUAACGCAUUAAGUGCACCGCCUGGGGAGUACGGUCGCAAGAUUAAAACUCAAAGGAAUUGACGGGGACCGCACAAGCGGUGGAGCAUGUGGCUUAAUUCGAUGCAACGCGAAGAACCUUACCUGGACUUGACAUAUAGCUGCAUAUGACUCGAAAGAGACAUAGCCUUCGAGGGUGCU
rnacentral:rRNA from 1 species